AAACCCAAUUUGUCAUAUGGCAUUGCCAGAUGACAUUGCUCUGGCAUUGCUCUGGCAAUGCCAUAUGACAAAUUGGGUUC
rnacentral:pre_miRNA from 1 species